ACAUGACUCUCGGCAACGGAUAUCUCGGCUCUUGCAUCGAUGAAGAACGUAGCGAAAUGCGAUACCUGGUGUGAAUUGCAGAAUCCCGCGAACCAUCGAGUCUUUGAACGCAAGUUGCGCCCGAGGCCUUUGGGCCGAGGGCACGCCUGCCUGGGCGUCACGC
rnacentral:rRNA from 1 species